GUGACGGUUAACGGGGAAUUAGGGUUCAAUUCCGGAGAGGGAGCCUGAGAAACGGCUACCACAUCUAAGGAAGGCAGCAGGCGCGCAAAUUACCCAAUUCUAAUAGCAUAAGAGAGGUAGUGACAAGAAAUAACAGUACAAGGCAGUUUAAAUGCUUUGUAAUUGGAAUGAUAGAAAUUUAAAUACUUUUUAAAGUAUCAAUUGGAGGGCAAGUCUGGUGCCAGCAGCCGCGGUAAUUCCAGCUCCAAUAGCGUAUAUUAAAAUUGUUGCAGUUAAAAAGCUCGUAGUUGAAUUUUUGCUAAAAAUAACCGGUCUGCUUUUAUUAAUAAAGGUGGCAUCUUGGUGUGUUUUUAGCAAUAAUGUCCUUUGAAAUGUUUUUUACUUUAUUGUAAAAGACAAUUUUCAGGAUUUUUACUUUGAGAAAAUUAGAGUGUUUCAAGCAGGCUAACGUUUUGAAUACUGCAGCAUGGAAUAAUAAAAUAGGAUUUUAGUUCUACGUUAAUGGUUUUAAGAGCUAAAUUAAUGAUUGAUAGGAGCAGUUGGGGGCAUUUGUAUUUAACUGUC
rnacentral:rRNA from 1 species